rnacentral:rRNA from 1 species
UACAGAGGGUGCGAGCGUUGUCCGGAAUCACUGGGCGUAAAGGGCGCGUAGGUGGCUGAGUAAGUAGGGGGUGAAAUCUCAUGGCUCAACUGUGAGGCUGCCUUCUAGACUGCUUGGCUUGAGCAUGGUAGAGGCUGGUGGAAUUCCCGGUGUAGCGGUGGAAUGCGUAGAGAUCGGGAAGAACAUCGGUGGCGAAGGCGGCCAGCUGGGCCAUUGCUGACACUGAGGCGCGAAAGCGUGGGGAGCAAAC